ACAACCAGCAAUGGCGCUGUUGAUUCAGUCUCAACACGUUCAUAGCCUGAAAAACAUGAACUUAGCCUGCUAACAACCAAACAACUCCUCUUCUAAGGAGCAUUGUUGUGCUAAUAUGACACUGGCAUGAAAAAAAGAUGAUUAAGAAUAUCAAGAAAGAGAUUUUCGAGUGUAACACAGAACGUGAAUACGGUCAUAUUUCAGCCAAAGUGGAGGACAGGCUGACCUCAGUCAUCACUUCGGCAACACCCUAUGAGCGAUUAGAAGACAACUCCUGAAUAGACACCGGUCGGGACUUCAUGUUUUCCAUGUCUGGAGGCCUGCUUGGACCAGCCUCUCAUCACCCUUGCAUCCUGGUCAUAGCGCUCUCAGAGCCGGAUGGGUACUUUCCUGUUGAAGCGCCACAUCAGAGGAGAUGCUCCUCUCCUGAUCUCCACCCAAAGCGUCUCGUUUGCGAAGGCAGACAGUCGAGUGUGCGUCUUGUCUGAUGCUUGAACGCAAUGAAACUGCCAUCGGCCAUAAGUCCUCAAGCCCAGAUGUCCCCGAAGAGAACCAUUACUGCCUUUCAGUCAAAAGAAGGAUCUCCGAAAAGCCCAAGCACUCUUCAUAAAUCAGAUGAAAUAUUUUGAGAGUCUGACAGGUGGAAUUUUGGUGGUAGUCUGGAAGAAGACAAGAGGAGUAGUCAAUUCCAUUUCAAACAAACAGUGGUACUUUGAAUCAGCAUGUUCUAUGAAUUGGACCUGGAUCAGAACAACAUCCAAGACGAGGACCUCGGAGAGUGAAAAAAACUUGCACUGCACCAAAUGUCGUGUGCCAGGUGUGACAUGAAGCAAGAGCAUUUGCAAAGUGUGCCCGCCACCCUCCCUCACCUCCAGCCUGGGAACGGAAGCAGCGAACCUCUGGAGAAAACAAGCAGACAAUCAGAAAUGUAAACUUUUACCGUCUUCAUUUGAUGCCAAGCCGAAAACAGAGCAGUCGGAACAGUGAACAGUUCUCCGGUUGGAUGCAUUUCCUGAUUUCCAGAAAUGUAAACGUUUACCGUCUUCAUUGGAUGCCAAGCCAAAAACCCUUUGCAGUCGGAACAGUUCUCCGGUUGGAUGCAUUUCCUGAUUUCCAGUAUCUGGUCAUGACUAAUUGAUCGUGUUCUAAAAAAGAGCCUCUGUUGUCACCAUUUGGGCUGUUGAAGUUACUGGCAAAGGGGACGGUGUGCAGCAGGAGUGUGCAUGGGGUGAGGUGAAAGAAAGACAGGACGGCUGGACUGCAGGUUCUCGUCGUUUUUCCACACAUGACGACAACACAUGAUCUCCAUGACGACCGUGUUACUGAGGAUGUAAGGAAGUGUCAGAUUCAGUGACCCAACCAAAACCGGGUUAUCCAUGGAUCCUAAAAAUGAGCUGCAUCGCUUCAUGAAGGACGGCUGAUUCAAGGUGUUGCUGCUGGUGCACGGAAGUCAUCUGCAGCACCCCGAGAGCCUGGGCCGAAGGGGGAUGAGCGCAUUGUCUCUGGCUUCCAUGUUCCCCUGAUGAACUGCUGAUAACCUCCCAGACAUGGAGCGCUCCAGCCGGCCUGGAGAACACAUACACGCAUCUUCCACGACACCUCUAAAGCCUUCUACACUUUGAAAGCCACUGUUCUACAACUUGAACAAAGUCUGCUAAGAAGAAUGGAAACGAC